ACAGAAUAGUGGGAAAAUGCUGCUCUAAUGUUGUGUUGUUGAUACCCUUCUCCGAGAUAUACCGCUUGUACGGAACAAAUUUGUGAUACCAUCUUUUUUCAUCCUCUCUAUCUACUUGGAAGGUUGGAUGAGACACCUAAGGUUGUCUGGCAGAAGGCUCAACCACUUGCUGGCUUUUUCCAAUUUGCUUUAAGCAACUUUACUUUGUUUGCGCUUCUUUGUGGAUGAGGCAGCAGUAGAAAGCUUUGCACUUGACUUUCCCUUGUUCAACCCUUCACGAGCCUUUUUUAAUGAAACCUGGGCGGUUUACCUUUGGCACUUUGAAAGGUUCCUAAUGUUGAAGAAGGUGUCUUUGGCCGAAUUGGAUGGCCUUGUGCUUCUCUCUUUUAGCCUUUUACGUUUUGGUUCGCGCCUUGCACCCAACUGGGCGCCAAACUUUUCUUGAUAUUUUUUUAAAUGAGAAACUUGGGCUAUGUCUUUUAUCCCAAGCCAUUAUGCACACAUUGAAAUGCUCGUGCCAACACCUACCUGCAAUUACACGACACAGACAACAACACAAAAUAUUAAAACACUACUCUAACUAAAAAAAACUAAAAUUCUACCAAAACCAAUAAAAAUCUAAUUGCCUCCCAACAAGUGCCUAAUUUGACAUCGUGGCAUGGCACAGUUACUCACGAUCUGUCAAGACCCAAAAACUCGCCUUAGGCAUCGUGAUGACACCUAGUCUCUAUGACUAGUUAUGCCGAUUACAUACAACAAUUAUAUCAGAUCCUAAACUACCCCCUAGACGUGGCUAGCACCAGGCUAACACCACUUGCUAGGUGAACCCCUCUCUCUAACGUUUAACCAUUUACACAAACACUUAGAGAAAAAAAUGCACGACUAAUAGUUUUAUCAAUAAUUAC
rnacentral:lncRNA from 1 species